CGUUAAUCGGCAUUAGUAAUUACCUAGAUUGAAAGGCCGUGUCGAUAAAUCGUGGAAGACACCACUCGGUAACGGAACUGAUGAACUUAUUACAUAUAAACAACAGCUGAUUACAGAAUGGAGCUACUGUAAGAAUGAAUGAGGUUAGUGAGUAUCCGCAUUAAGUGACCCCGGUAACACAAUGAUG